CAAGGAAUUUUCCCCAAUGGGCGCAAGCCUGAGGGAGCAACGCCGCGUGCAGGACGACGGCCUUCGGGUUGUAAACUGCUUUUGCGUGGGACGAUAACGACGGUACCACGCGAAUCAGCCCCGGCUAACUCUGUGCCAGCAGCCGCGGUAAUACAGAGGGUGCGAACGUUGCUCGGAUUUACUGGGCGUAAAGCGCGUGUAGGCGGACUCGCAAGUCGGUUGUGAAAUCCCUGGGCUCAACCUAGGAACUGCAUCCGAAACUGCUUGUCUUGAGUAAUGGAGAGGGUGGCGGAAUUCCCGGUGUAGAGGUGAAAUUCGUAGAUAUCGGGAGGAACACCAGUGGCGAAGGCGGCCACCUGGACAUUCACUGACGCUGAGACGCGAAAGCGUGGGGAGCAAACAGGAUUAGAUACCCCUGUAGUCC
rnacentral:rRNA from 1 species